GGGCCUUGUGGGUGGGGGCCCGGCCCCUCUGUUGAUGGCUGGGCUACCGUGUGGGGAUCGGGGGGUGCGGUCGGGCGUGGCGGGGUCUCUCCGGGCGGUGCCGGCCUGGUGGGGCGUGGGGGUGCCCCUUCCCUACGGGUGGGGCUUGGCGCUUGUCUCGUCUCCUGGUUGCCUUGGGGGCGUGCCUCGCGGCGUGUGGGUCCGGGGCGGCUUGCCGCGCCGGUGUGGGGGGUGGGCAUGCUGGGGGGUGCCGGGGUUGGGGCGGGGUUGCUUGGCGCUCCGGGGUGGUGCUCUUUGCUGGGGGGCGGCUCUAGCUGUUCCGGGGGUUGAGGUCGGUAUCGGCCACUUGGUAGGUCUGUCCUGCUAUCUGCGGGCUGGCGGGUGGGUGGGAUCUGCGCCUUUGGCUGGGGGCUGCUGCACCGCAUCGGUUGUGUGCCAUUGGGGUCCCUCUCUCCUGUGGUGGCGGCCGCCGGUCGCUAAUGCGCCGGGGGGGGGGGCAUUGCCCCGUGGCUUGCGCUGUCCGGUGGGGGGCGGGACCUGGGCAGCUGUCUUUGUGCCGUCUGGGGCUGCACGGUCUUGCUGGGUUGUGGCCUGUUCGUGGGCUGGGGGAGUGCCCCCCGCGGAGGUCUGGUCCGGGGGCUCACCCUUGGGGGUUCCCUGUCCUGCGGUGGUGCCCUUUGGGUCCGGCGGGUCUGGCCGGCUGGCUGGGCUGGUCCUGGCGGGCGUCUUCCGGGGCGGGUGGUACGGGCCGCGCCCUGCCAUACCUGCGGGUGCGGCCCCGGCUUGGGCGGCGCCCUGUGAGCCGAGCUCUGCGGUGUGGCUGGGCCCUUUGGUGGGGGGGGGGGGGCUGUCUGGGGCGCAUCGCGCGGGCGGCAUCAAGGAAAGGCGAUCUGGUGCGCUCUGGGGUGCCUGGUCGGUGCGCCUGGGGGCCGGCGGGGCAGCUUGCAGCAUCCCCUUGGUGUCCUCGGCGACUAUGGGCGUGGUUGUCGUCCCUUGGGGCGCUGCUCUCGGUGCUGCUUCCGUUCCGGGUCCUUCUGGCCUGGGGUCCAGACCCUGCUGGCUCAGGGCCCACCGGCGGGCGCCCGCCGGCUGCCCGUUCUGCGCGGCUCUGGCCGUCUGCUGGGCGGGGCCCUUGGCUCCUCUGCUGGGGUCUCGGGCGGGGGGCUCUCUGGGCCCUUCCCUCGGGGGGUUGGGUGCUUG
rnacentral:lncRNA from 1 species